UAAUACGUAGGGUGCGAGCGUUAAUCGGAAUUACUGGGCGUAAAGCGUGCGCAGGCGGUUCGUUAAGUCUGAUGUGAAAGCCCCGGGCUCAACCUGGGAAUGGCAUUGGAUACUGGCGGGCUGGAGUGUGGCAGAGGGGGGUGGAAUUCCGCGUGUAGCAGUGAAAUGCGUAGAGAUGCGGAGGAACACCGAUGGCGAAGGCAGCCCCCUGGGCUGACACUGACGCUCAGGCACGAAAGCGUGGGGAGCAAACAGGAUUAGAUACCCUGGUAGUCCACGCCCUAAACGAUGAUCACUGGGUGUUCGGGGAGCGAUCUCUGGGUACCGUAGCUAACGCGUGAAGUGAUCCGCCUGGGGAGUACGGUCGCAAGAUUAAAACUCAAAGGAAUUGACGG
rnacentral:rRNA from 1 species